rnacentral:misc_RNA from 1 species
AACAUCGCGCACCUGCGGGAACCUGCGGAAGGAUCGUUACAGAGUUGCAAAACUCCCUAAACCAUUGUGAACGUUACCUAAACCGUUGCUUCGGCGGGCGGCCCGGGUCCUUCCCGGCGCCCAUCGGCCCUCGCGGGCGCCCGCCGGAGGUAAACCAAACUAUUGCAUUGUAUGGCCUCUCUGAGUCUUCUGUACUGAAUAAGUCAAAACUUUCAGCAACGGAUCUCAGAUCGGAAGAGC